GAUGAACGCUGGCGGCGUGCCUAAUACAUGCAAGUCGAGCGAAAAGACGCGGAGCUUGCUCCUGUGUCGUUAGCGGCGGGCGGGUGAGUAACACGUGGAUCACCUACCUCUAAGACUGGGAUAACUACGGGAAACCGGAGAUAAUACCGGAGAAUAUAUUGAACCGGAGGGUGCAGUAGAGAAAGACGGUUUUGGUGUCAGUUAUAGAUGGAUCCGCGCCGCAUUAGCUAGUUGGUAAGGUAACGGCUUACCAAGGCAACGAUGCGUAGCCGAGCGCUGGGGGUGUUCGGCCGCCCUCGAACUGAACCACGCUCCAGACUCCUACGAUAGGCACCAGUCGCGAAUCUUCCUCAAUGGUCGAAAGUCUUACGGAGCCACGCCGCGUGGGUGAUUAAGGUCUUCGGAUCGUAAAACUCUCUUAUUAGUGAAGAACAUAUUUGUAAGUAACUAUGCCCGUCUUGACGGUACCUAAUCAGAAAGCCACGGCUAACUACGUG
rnacentral:rRNA from 1 species